GGAAAAGAUCGUUUGCAAAACUGACUAGUAAAACAGACAUUUGUGCAAUAACAAUAAAAACAGCAGCCUAGGUAUAAUCAGUAAACCUAAUCAAGUUGGUUUCGCAGGAAUCUUGGAACCAUCAAUUAACUAGUUCUAUAUUUUGAAGAUGCAUCGACUGUCUUUUUUAUCUAUCAUUUCUUUGGCGGCGGUUCAAACUACGCUUUGGGAAGCAUCUGCAUGGCCGCUAAUCAACCAAUACGAUCUCUCACAACUCUUCCUGCACAUAUGGGAAAACUCUGACACAAGAGAGAUUUCUGUUUCGACAGCUGCACCCUAUAUGGAGAACAACGGAUUAGGACCCCUUGACACAAUUCCACGUGUCGUAAGCCCAUAUAAAAAAGCACCGUUCGCAAAGCGAUUCCAAAUUGGCGGAACAGUUCCAAAAAUGGAGUUCGGAGCAUUCCAAAACCGACAAAAAAAGUCCGACGAAGUUACCAAGCGGAGCAAUCUGUCAUUCCUGGUAAAAGCCGAACCACUUAACGGAGACUUCGCUACAAUUUCGCUGCGCACAAUGGAGAACAAAAACUUGGAGUCUCACUGACCGAUAGCUACAAUUUUUUCAGAGCUGAGCAAAAAAUAUCGGAAGACAAAAAACAUCUGAAGACUAAAAAAGCGACAAAAAUAUGGAAAUAAAGCGCCAACGCACAAUCAUGAUUACACGAGGAUAUCACUAAUUCAAGGCGUUCAUAAUAGGGUUGAUGUUAUUUUUUUGACCUUGAUGAUAUAUCAGCCUACCCCUGAAUGUAAUAUGCAAGCAAAAAGUACCAGCCUACCCCUGAAUGUAAUCUGUAAUCA